UCAUCACCCUCGUGUGUGUAUGUAGGUAGAUUGAUUUUUCAUUUUUUUUAAUAAACUUUACCUGGUUUCAUAAAUUUGGCCACAUUACAAAUAUUUAAUUUACGCGUCAGCACAAAGAAGAUUGAGCCAUGAAAUAAAUAACGAACGAACGAACGAAAAUUUUGUUUUCUCUUCAUCCAUUGCCACCACUAUUUAAAUACAAGGUCAAGGAUUAUGGAUCAUUUUUUUCUGUUUUUUUUCCACCAGUAAAUCUUCAUCAUGAUGAUGAUGAUGAUGAUAAUGAAGAUGAAGAUGAUCAUAAAAUCAAGAUCCUGGAUUAUAUAAACGAAUUGAAUAUGAUGUGCUAAUUAAUUGCCAUAGAUUAUAAUGAUAAUGAUGAUGAUGAUAAUGAAGAUAAUGAUCAUCAUCAUCAUGGAUUUUUCUUUUCAAAAAAAAGCUGGAUUAAAAAUCAAAAAAAUCCUGAAUUAAACCAUCAUUAGUGUUACUGGUCGUUAUUAUUAUUAGUAACAAUGUUCAUUGGAGAAGAAAACUAUCGUUUGGCCCCGAUUAAAUAUCACUAAUAUAUUGACCAAUGAUGCUUGGUGGUGGUGGUGGUGGAUAAAAUCAAACCAGCAAAAAGUGUGAAGAAGAAGAAGAAGAAAC